AUGAGGGUAGCUGCGGCGGCUGGAGCGGGGCCGGCCAUGGCGGUGUGGACGCGGGCCACCAAAGCGGGGCUCGUGGAGCUGCUCCUGAGGGAGCGCUGGGUCCGAGUGGUGGCCGAGCUGAGCGGGGAGAGCCUGAGCCUGACAGGCGACGCCGCCGCGGCCGAGCUGGAGCCCGCUCUGGGACCCGCGGCAGCCGCCUUCAACGGCCUACCGAACGGCGGCGGUGCGGGCAACUCGCUGCCCGGAAGCCCAAGCCGCGGCCUGGGGGCCCCCGAGCCCGCCGGCGCCACUUCAGAGCCCCGGGGGUGAGGCAGGCGCGUCGCCUCCUGUGCGCCGGGUGCGGGUGGUGAAGCAGGAGGCGGGCGGCCUGGGCAUCAGCAUCAAGGGCGGCCCCGAGAACCGGAUGCCGAUCCUCAUCUCCAAGAUCUUCCCGGGGCUGGCUGCCCACCAGAGCCGGGCGCUGCGGCUGGGCGACGCCAUCCUGUCGGUGAACGGCACCGACCUGCGCCAGGCCACCCACGACCAGGCCGUGCAGGCGCUGAAGCGCGCGGGCAAGGAGGUGCUGCUGGAGGUCAAGUUCAUCCAAGAAGUAACACCAUAUAUCAAGAAGCCAUCAUUAGUAUCAGAUCUGCCACGGGAAGGUGCAGCCCCCCAGUCACCAAGCUUUAGUGGCAGUGAGGACUCUGGUUCGCCAAAAUACCAGAACAGCACCAAAGACAGGAAGAUCACCCCUCUCAAAAUGUGCUUUGCUGCUAGAAACCUAAGCAUGCCGGAUCUGGAAAACAGAUUGGUAGAGCUACAUUCUCCUGAUAGCAGGAAUACGUUGAUCCUACGCUGCAAAGAUACAGCCACAGCACACUCCUGGUUCGUAGCUAUCCACACCAACAUAAUGGCUCUCCUCCCACGGGUGUUGGCUGAACUCAACGCCAUGCUUGGGGCAACCAGUACAGCAGGAGGCAGUAAAGAGGUCAAGCAUAUUGCCUGGCUGGCAAAACAGGCAAAACUAGGUGGUGGAAGACAGCAAUGGAGACCUGUCCUCAUGGCUGUGACUGAGAAGGAUUUGCUGCUCUAUGACUGUAUGCCAUGGACAAGAGAUGCCUGGGCAUCACCAUGCCACAGCUACCCACUUGUUGCCACAAGGUUGGUUCAUUCUGGCUCUGGAUGUCGAUCCCCCUCCCUUGGAUCUGACCUUACAUUUGCUACCAGGACAGUCUCUCGACAGGGCAUUGAGCAGCAUCUCUUCAGGGUGGAGACACAUCGGGAUCUGUCAUCCUGGACCAGGAUACUUGUUCAGGGUUGCCAUGCUGCUGCUGAGCUGAUCAAGGAAGUCUCUCUAGGCUGCAUGUUAAAUGGCCAAGAGGUGAGGCUUACUAUUCACUAUGAAAAUGGGUUCACCAUCUCCAGGGAAAAUGGAGGCUCUAGCAGCAUAUUAUACCGCUACCCCUUUGAAAGGCUGAAGAUGUCUGCUGAUGAUGGCAUCCGAAAUCUAUACUUGGAUUUUGGUGGUCCCGAAGGAGAACUGACCAUGGACCUGCACUCUUGUCCGAAGCCAAUUGUAUUUGUGUUGCACACAUUCUUAUCGGCCAAAGUCACUCGUGUGGGACUGCUUGUAUGAGCAACAAAAAAUCAGAAAAGAGCCUUGACUGUCACAAGAAAUAUUUCCACCUCAAAAAAAAAAAAAAAAAAA